GCAUCAGGUGGCCAAAUUAUUGGAGCUUCAUCUUCAGCAUCAGUCCUUCCAAUGAAUAUUCAGGAGUCUCAGGAGAUGCUCAGCUCUUGGAUUUGUCAUCAGGACCAUAGGAGAAGAUGUAUGCAAAACAGCUAACACUGUCCCCUCCGUGUUGUGCAGUGAAAUAUUUGACACUUGCUUCCCUGGUGACUCAGAGGUUAAAGCGUCUGCCUCCAAUGCAG